rnacentral:piRNA from 1 species
UGAUGACUCUGUGUGUUCUACUUAGAGG